AUUGAACGCUGGCGGCAUGCCUUACACAUGCAAGUCGAACGGCAGCACGGGAGCAAUCCUGGUGGCGAGUGGCGAACGGGUGAGUAAAGUAUCGGAACGUGCACAGUCGUGGGGGCUAACGUAGCGAAAGUUCCGCUAAUACCGCAUAAGAACGAUGGAUGAAAGCGGGGGACCGCAAGACCUCGCGCGAUUGGAGAGGCCGAUAUCAGAUUAGGUAGUUGGUGGGGUAAAGGCUCACCAAGCCAACGAUCUGUAGCUGGUCUGAGAGGACGACCAGCCACACUGGGACUGAGACACGGCCCAGACUCCUACGGGAGGCAGCAGUGGGGAAUUUUGGACAAUGGGCGAAAGCCUGAUCCAGCCAUGCCGCGUGCAGGAUGAAGGCCUUCGGGUUGUAAACUGCUUUUGUACGGAACGAAAAGGUUUGGCCUAAUAAGCUGAGCUCAUGACGGUACCGUAAGAAUAAGCACCGGCUAACUACGUGCCAGCCGCCGCAGUAA
rnacentral:rRNA from 1 species